GAAAUGCGAUAAGUAAUGUGAAUUGCAGAAUUCAGUGAAUCAUCGAAUCUUUGAACGCACAUUGCGCCCGCCAGUAUUCUGGCGGGCAUGCCUGUUCGAGCGUCAUUACAACCCUCAGGCCCCCGGACCUGGCGUUGGGGAUCGGCGGAAGCCCCACUGCGGGCACAACGCCGUCCCCCAAAUACAGUGGCGGUCCCGCCGCAGCUUCCAUUGCGUAGUAGCUAACACCUCGCAACUGGAGAGCGGCGCGGCCACGCCGUAAAACACCCAACUUCUGAAUGUUGACCUCGAAUCAGGUAGGAAUACCCGCUGAACUUAAGC
rnacentral:misc_RNA from 1 species